CUGGACAAGCAUAGAACAUGCAAUGUCUAGAUUUGUUUGGUUUACUUCGGAUCAGCGCUGUUCUUGUCCAAAUCCUUAUUAUUUGAAUCUGUUUCCUUUGGAGAUUUUAUUCUCGGGACCGAAGAUUUAGAUGGAUCUGUUUUGAAAACAGCCAGGUCGAGCGUGCCUGGAUUAUAAUAACUUUUCAACAAACGUCUAAAUUGAAUCCGCCGUCCGGCUCUUCUUGUUCUUUUCGGCAUGAGAGAUUUUUAGCACAACACUCUUAAAGUAAGGAAGAGAAGAACUGUGCUCGUGGUUCAAGCACUGCGUUCUGGGAAAAAAGGGAGGAAUGGUGCUCGUGGUUCAAGCACAACACUCUUAAGGUAAAGAAAAGAAGAACGGUGCUCGUGGUUCAAGCACGGCGUUCUGGAAAAAGAAUGAAGAUGAUAAGAGGGAAGAGAGGCUCAAGACCCCUUGGCAAUCGGCUAACAAGAAGUUCAGCGAAA